UUUUGUUUUUCUUUUGCCUCC
rnacentral:piRNA from 1 species